CUAUAAAAACUUCCAGAACAGUAGUAAUGCAAAUUUAGCACAAUUUCAACCCAAGGUAAUCUACGGCAUAGCUUUACGAAACUGAUAAUCAAAUGGCAAGCCAUGAACAAGUAGAAUGACAACAUAAUAAAAUGAACAGAAUUCAACAAGCUAGACCCUAGCAACCGCAAGCUAUUAUGUACAUCUUCAUGAAUUUGCACACCAGACCUCUUUAGUCACUUUCAUAAUCUUCUUCAUCACCAAAUGAGAAAACAGAUGCAUCAGCUGCCAUGACCUUGAAAUCACUCACUCCUCCAACCGGAUUGGACACAUCAACACUAGACGUAGUUCCGACUGAGGCAUCUUUUUUGGGCUCACUGUGUACAGAGCUUGUGUCUCCCAAUGAGACUUGUUCUGUCUUAUGUGUCAAGCUUGAUAUUUUAUCUGAAUCGUCCUUGUUCCUUGAUCCAGGGUUUUUUGCAUCUGCGGGAGCGCUAACUUCAGAAGCAGCUUUAGAUUGUCUAGCUUUUGACAUUCCAGGUUCCUCAGAUUCAUUGUCUGAGAACACAUCGUCCUUGUCAUUGUUCCCAGGUUGUUGGUUCACGUUAGUUCCGUCAGCAGGCUCACUGCCUGAGGUAGGAUUAGACACGGGGGCAGGAUUAGCACUUGAACUGUCAGCUGAUUCUUUGGUGGCAGUUUCUGAUUGGGGUCGAGCAGGAAGGGCAGCAUCAUAGUCCGCAAGGACUACUUCCACUUGGAAACCAGGUGAAGGUAACUUUCUCUUGUCAAAACCAUCGAGAUCACUUGUCAUCAGGACUUUCCUGUUCUCUAUCAUUGUUGUAUUCAACCAACAGUAAAAGUCUCCUUGACGGUCAUGAAAAUGAAUUUUGAAAUCCCCAGCUAAUUCUGCAAGGCCAGGCUCGCCUGGAAGAGCAAAAACCACUACCCCUUUCUUUGGUGCAUUGAACCAAAAAUCCUCAGGCGAUAGAUCCUUGGUUCUUGGAUGUUUUUUGGAUGAAAAGAGCACACCAUUAUGAUCAGAUACAGUGAUAGAAGGUCUUAUCCAAUAAGGGCACCUAUGCAGGCGAAAUCCUCUGAGCAUGCACCUGCGUCCAGGCUGGUUUUCUCCAUUAAAGUACAUUAAGAUGCGUUCGAAAUACUUGACAUAUCUAAUCUGGCUCGGCAGCACUAGUCCUUUUCCGUCUACGCAUCUCUUUUGAUUGUAGUAAUCCAUAGACUCCUCUGCUGUAGGAAAGAACUUCAAGUAUAGAAGAAGACUAGAGAUCAUUAAACCAGUUCUUGCCAUUCCCGCCUUACAAUGCACAACCACAACAUUUUCGAUAUCCUCCUUCAACCAUGAGUAUGCACUUUGACAAAAUGAUAUAAUGAGUUGAAUAGGAGGGCAGUUGUGAUCAUCAAAUGGGAAACUAGCAACCUUCCCCUCGAAUAGGGAAGCAUCAUACAGUCUUUCAGCACAAAGAUUGUAUACUUUGUAUUUAUCCUUAUGAUGAGUUUCAAAGAAUUUAAUUACUUCUUCCAUGUGGUUUCUGUAGAACCCCUCAACAUAGCCAAAAAGGCCAGAGCUCAUGUCACCAGCAGGGAAUCCCAUGGCAAUUAUAUUCUCUGUUAUAUAU
rnacentral:misc_RNA from 1 species